UGCUGGUGGUCAUAGCACAGUAGCUGCAAAUAUUUCCUGAGAACCUGCAAUGCAUCAGCCACCAUGCCAUCCUGUUAGACAGACUCCACAACAAUCCCGAGUGGACACUGAAGCUACUGGAACUUAGACAAUGGAACCAUCAUUCCCGAUGGGCAUGUGGAUCUGGUUCACAUGAACCAUACCGCCAGCCCCCGCCAUGUGACUGCUGUAGAGAGGCUUAGCAAGGUGAUCGAACAUGAAGCCAGCCACCACUUCCUGAAUCUGAAGCCAGCUGUCACUUACUGGGGUCCGCUGUUCCUGGAGCCACCAUAGCACUAGAGCUACGAAAGUAUUUUCCUUUGCACAAAAGGAUUCUGAAUACAAUCUUGCUGAUAAUCAGGAAGACGGCCCUCUCCACAUUUGUUACCUGGCCUCAUCUGUGACAGGUUUGCUAUGGUAAUGACUUUUUCACGGCAGGCAUUCAGUAUUGUGCUUGUUUCACAAACUUCCUUCACUGCAUUUUCCAGCCUGGUGCCCAGGGUUAGGCUUCUCCAUGCCAAGAUUUCUGAAAAUUAAUAAAUCUACUGCCAUAAUCCUGACUGCUUCAACUGACAAAUUUAAUAAAUGACAGGAUGCAAA